rnacentral:rRNA from 1 species
AUAGAAGUGAGCAUGCAGGCAUGAGUAGCGAUAAUUAAUGUGAGAAUCAUUAACGCCGUAAACCCAAGGUUUCCUACGCGAUGCUCGUCAUCGUAGGGUUAGUCGGGUCCUAAGUCGAGUCCGAAAGGGGUAGACGAUGGCAAAUUGGUUAAUAUUCCAAUACCAACAUUAGUGUGCGAUGGAAGGACGCUUAGGGCUAAGGGGGCUAGCGGAUGGAAGUGCUAGUCUAAGGUCGUAGGAGGUUGUACAGGCAAAUCCGUAUAACAAUACUCCGAGAACUGAAAGGCUUUUUGAAGUCUUCGGAUGGAUAGAAGAACCCCUGAUGCUGUCGAGCCAAGAAAAGUUUCUAAGUUUAGCUAAUGUUGCCCGUACCGUAAACCGACACAGGUGGGUGGGAUGAGUAUUCUAAGGCGCGUGGAAGAACUCUCUUUAAGGAACUCUGCAAAAUAGCACCGUAUCUUCGGUAUAAGGUGUGGUUAGCUUUGUAUUAGGAUUUACUCCGAAAGCAAGGAAACUUACAACAAAGAGUCCCUCCCGACUGUUUACCAAAAACACAGCACUCUGCUAACUCGUAAGAGGAUGUAUAGGGUGUGACGCCUGCCCGGUGCUCGAAGGUUAAUUGAUGGGGUUAGCAUUAGCGAAGCUCUUGAUCGAAGCCCGAGUAAACGGCGGCCGUAACUAUAACGGUCCUAAGGUAGCGAAAUUCCUUGUCGGUUAAAUACCGACCUGCAUGAAUGGCGUAACGAGAUGGGAGCUGUCUCAAAGAGGGAUCCAGUGAAAUUGUAGUGGAGGUGAAAAUUCCUCCUACCCGCGGCAAGACGGAAAGACCCCGUGGACCUUUACUACAGCUUGACACUGCUACUUGGAUAAGAAUGUGCAGGAUAGGUGGGAGGCUUUGAGUAUAUGACGCCAGUUGUAUAUGAGCCAUUGUUGAGAUACCACUCUUUCUUAUUUGGGUAGCUAACCAGCUUGAGUUAUCCUCAAGUGGGACAAUGUCUGGUGGGUAGUUUGACUGGGGCGGUCGCCUCCCAAAUAAUAACGGAGGCUUACAAAGGUUGGCUCAGAACGGUUGGAAAUCGUUCGUAGAGUAUAAAGGUAUAAGCCAGCUUAACUGCAAGACAUACAAGUCAAGCAGAGACGAAAGUCGGUCUUAGUGAUCCGGUGGUUCUGUGUGGAAGGGCCAUCGCUCAAAGGAUAAAAGGUACCCCGGGGAUAACAGGCUGAUCUCCCCCAAGAGCUCACAUCGACGGGGAGGUUUGGCACCUCGAUGUCGGCUCAUCGCAUCCUGGGGCUGGAGCAGGUCCCAAGGGUAUGGCUGUUCGCCAUUUAAAGCGGUACGCGAGCUGGGUUCAGAACGUCGUGAGACAGUUCGGUCCCUAUCUGCCGUGGGCGUAAGAAGAUUGAAGAGAUUUGACCCUAGUACGAGAGGACCGGGUUGAACAAACCACUGGUGUAGCUGUUGUUCUGCCAAGAGCAUCGCAGCGUAGCUAAGUUUGGAAAGGAUAAACGCUGAAAGCAUCUAAGCGUGAAGCCAACUCUAAGAUGAAUCUUCUCUAAGCUCUCUAGAAGACUACUAGUUUGAUAGGCUGGGUGUGUAAUGGAUGAAAGUCCUUUAGCUGACCAGUACUAAUAGAGCGUUUGGCUUAUCUUUAAUAAAGCAU